UGAGCAUCGACUAGCUUUUUGAUAAUCUUGACAGGAUUGUGUUUCUUUCCGUAAUUGUUUUGGUACGCCUUAUGCUAAAGCAAUUACGCUGUCAGUGUUAAUAUAAUUCAUUUUUGCUUGUUAAAAAAAAAAAAAAGAGUAAGAUGAAUAAGGGGAAAUUAUAUGUAUUUUCUUUCUAUCUUUCUUUUUGAUGUAAUGAAGAGCUAUAUGAAUGUAUCUGCGUGUCAUUAAUAUAUCUACAAAGUGGCAAUGAAAGUAGUUGUGAUUCAAACAUUAUAAAUAGAUUCACAUAACUUCUUUAAAUGGUUAUGUGAUUCGCAUAACUUCUUUACGGAACUAUAUCCACAUACCAUUUAAAAACUAUUUUGACAGCGUUGUGUAAGUCGUUAUACAACGAUGAACACAAAGUAGAGAGAAUAACAGAAGGAUGACCAACUAAAUCAAUGAUCCAAUGAACAACAUACUAGUUUGGUGGAGUAUGGCUUUACCAAUUACCAACUGGCACCCUCUGCAUCCCUCGUCUGAUAGAAAUCACUUGGUCGAACAAUGUUGACCUCCUCAAACUCAUUAUCAUCUGGAAGCAAAAGGAAAACAUCUUUUCAUUAUGUUGUUUCUGAAAAAGAUAUGGCAGUACACUAACGGUGCAUGUACAUCAAAAACGAUCCUCUAGAGGAAAUGAUGUUGUCAAAAUGAAAGAUAUAAACAAGUAAAUGCAGGUAUGUAAGUGCUUGUAAAUAUCAGUUCCUAAAAGUUAAAGAUAUCAAUAUAACAGCCAUCUAGAAGACCUUCAUGAAUUUCUCCAAUUAUCAUUUUUUCAAUGAAUAAGUUAUCACUUAAAAGUAUUUAAGACGUUUUUAAUUCCAUGAAGAACAUCGGUCCAAUCCAUCACCUAACAACUGCA
rnacentral:lncRNA from 1 species